rnacentral:rRNA from 1 species
AUGCACAUCAAGGAGGUCUGCCUGGAGGGCUUCAAGUCGUACGCGGGGCGGACGGUGGUGCCGGGGUUCGACCCGCUGUUCAACGCCAUCACCGGGCUCAACGGCUCCGGCAAGUCCAACAUCCUCGACUCCAUCUGCUUCGUGCUCGGCAUCACCGACCUCCGCGCCGUGCGCGCCGCCUCGCUCCAGGAGCUCGUCUACAAGCAGGGCCAGGCCGGCGUCACCAAGGCCACCGUCUCCAUCGUCUUCGACAACUCCGACCGCGCCCGCUCCCCGCUCGGCUACGAGGACUCGGCCGAGAUCACCGUCACGCGCCAGAUUGUAGUUGGUGGACGGAACAAAUACCUUAUAAAUGGCCAUCUUGCACAACCUUCCCGGGUGCAGACUCUUUUCCACUCUGUGCAGCUUAACGUGAACAAUCCCCAUUUCCUAAUUAUGCAAGGACGUAUUACGAAAGUGCUGAACAUGAAGCCUCCAGAAAUUCUUUCCAUGUUGGAAGAGGCAGCCGGCACAAGGAUGUACGAAAUGAAGAAGGAAUCUGCUCUGAAAACACUUGAGAAGAAGCAGAACAAAGUCGAGGAGAUCAAUAAACUUCUUGAUGAUGAAAUCCUUCCUGCAUUGGAGAAACUUAGAAAAGAGAGGUGCCAGUACAUGAAAUGGGCCAAUGGUAACACUGAACUGGAUCGACUGAAAAGAUUCUGUAUUGCAUAUGAGUUUGUUCAAGCUGAGAAAGUGCGAGAAAGUGCACUCAGUGAUGUCAAACAAAUCCAGGGAAAGAUUGUUGAACUGGAUGAAAGCACAGAAAAGCUAAAAGCAGACAUAGAUGAAAUGGACAAAAACGUAGCUACCUUAACUGCUGAAAAAGAAGCCAAGCUAGGCGGUGAGAUGAAGGUUUUGUCAGAGAAAGUGGAUAAGCUCUCACAUGCACUUAUUAAGGAAACUUCUCUGAUGGAUAAUCAAGAGGAAACUCUAAGGUCAGAGGAAAAGGCUGCUGAAAAGAUCCUGAAGAACAUUGAGGACAUCAAGAGAUCUAUUGUUGAAAGAGAUGCUGCUGUAAAAAAUGCAGAGGACGGUGCAUCUGAUAUGAGUAAGAGAGCAGAGGAUCUGACAAAGGAGAUAGAUGAUAGCGAGAAAGAAUAUCAGGGUGUGCUGGCAGGAAAAAGCAGUGCGAAUGAGAAGAAAUGCCUAGAAGAUCAACUUAGAGAUGCAAAAGCUGCUGUUGGAGAGGCAGAAUCUGGACUAAAGCAGUUGACGACAAAAAUAAGCCAUUCUGAGAAGGAGCUGAAAGAGAAGAAAGCUCAGAUGAAAUCCAAGCGUGAUGAAGCUACUGCAGCUGAGAAAGAGCUGAAAGCUAGGACAAAAGACUUGGAUGCUAUCAAGGCAUCCAUGGGGUCUAUAAAUUACGAAGAGGGCCAGAUGGAAGCUCUGCAAAAGGAUCGAUCAACAGAGGUAGAGGUGGUUCAAAAAUUGAAGGACAAAGUUCGUGCACUUUCUGGUGAGCUGGGGAAUGUGAACUUCAGCUAUCAAGAUCCUGUCAAAAAAUUUGAUAGAUCAAAAGUCAAAGGAGUAGUUGCGCGGCUUAUUAAGAUAAAGGAUAGCUCCACGGCAACAGCAUUGGAGGUUGCUGCUGGAGGCAGGCUAUAUAAUGUGGUUGUUGACACAGAAACCACAGGAAAGCAGCUCCUACAAAACGGAGGGCUCAAAAGGAGGGUGACCAUAAUACCGUUGAAUAAAAUCCAUACAGGCACUAUACCUGAUAGAGUCCAGCAGGCGGCUCGUAGAAUGGUUGGAGCUGAAAAUGUAACAUUAGCUCUAGAAUUGGUUGGCUAUGACGAAGAAGUAAAGAAUGCUAUGGCUUAUGUCUUUGGCUCGACAUUUGUAUGUCGAAAUAUGGAGGCAGCAAAGGAGAUUGCCUUCAAUAGGGAAGUUGGCAGUACAAGUGUGACUCUUGAAGGUGACAUUUUCCAGCCUAGUGGGCUAUUGACCGGAGGCAGUCGCAGAGGUGGUGGGGACUUGCUAAGGAAACUCCAUGAAUUAGCUAAAGCUGAGGCUGAUCUCUCUGAACAUGAGGACAGGCUCUCUGUUAUUGAACAGAAGAUUGCUGUGCUCCUGCCUCUGCAUAAAAAGUACGCUGAGUUGAAAUCUCAGUUUGAACUCAAAUCAUAUGAUCUGUCAUUAUUUCAAAGCAGAGUUGAACAAAAUGAACAUCACAAGUUAGGUGAACUUGUGAAGAAACUUGAGCAAGAACUCCAGGAAUCAAAAGAAGAAUUGAAGGAAAAACAAGUGGAGCAUAAAAAAUGUGUAUCCACUGUUUCUGAUUUGGAAAAGACAAUUAAGACUUAUGGCAGUGAACGUGAAGGUAGGCUCAAAGCUCUAGAAAAAAAGAUAAAGUCACUGAAAUCGGAAAUGCAGGCCAUGUCGAAGCAAUUAAAGGCUUAUCAAAGCGAGAGGGAGAGGCUUAUUAUGGAGAAAGAUGCAGUUGCUAAUGAACUUGCUUCGCUUGAAGAGCAAUUGAUAACUUCGAAAGCUCAGAUUACUGCGCUGUCUGAAACCUGGGGCACACAUAAGAGCAAGGUUGCUGCCACAAAGCUAGAGUAUGACCAAGCUGAAUCUGAGCUCAACAUUGGUCGCUCCAAACUGAAGGAAUGUGACUCACAAAUAAACAGCAUCUCCAAAGAGCAGCAAAAACUUCAGCAGCUACUUGGUGAUUCGAAUGUCGAAAGGAAGAAAAUGGAAAAUGAGGUUAAGAGGAUGGAGAUAGAGCAGAAGGAUUGCUCUUCAAGGGUUGAUAAGCUAAUGGAGAAGUACAGUUGGAUUGCAACUGAGAAACAAUUGUUCGGAAAAAGUGGUACAGAUUACGACUUUGCAUCGUGUGAACCACACAAGGCGAGGGAAGAACUUGAUAAUCUCCAAGCUCAGCAAUCCGGUCUUGAGAAGAGGGUCAAUAAGAAAGUUAUGGCAAUGUUUGAGAAGGCAGAGGAUGAAUACAAUGAUUUGAUAUCGAAGAAAAAUAUUAUCGAGAAUGACAAGUCAAAAAUCAAGAAAGUGAUAGAAGAGUUGGAUGAGAAGAAGAAAGAGACCUUGAAAGUUACAUGGCUCAAAGUUAACAAGGAUUUUGGGUCUAUAUUUGGUACUCUUCUACCUGGUACAAUGGCAAAACUUGAUCCUCCUGAAGGUGGUACCUUCUUGGAUGGUCUUGAAGUUCGGGUGGCAUUUGGAACAGUCUGGAAGCAAUCUUUGUCUGAACUUAGUGGAGGACAGCGGUCCCUUCUUGCUCUUAGUCUUAUUCUGGCGUUACUUCUUUUUAAACCUGCGCCGCUUUACAUAUUAGAUGAGGUUGAUGCUGCCCUUGAUCUGAGCCAUACCCAAAACAUUGGUAGAAUGAUAAAGGCACAUUUUCCACAGUCCCAGUUCAUAGUUGUGUCGCUAAAAGAGGGUAUGUUCAACAACGCCAACGUGAUAUUCCGAACGAAAUUUGUGGAUGGGGUGUCCACUGUGACACGAACAGUCCCUUCGAAACAGAAAUGA